CUUCUCUUUCGGGACCCCAUAUUCAUUCAUGUAGCACUCCACACUUGAAGGGCAGUCUCCCCUCUUUUGCUCUUCCUUUAAUCAUGUACUUUAUACUUAAGGAAAAGAAAUUAUCAUGAUUACCUCGUGGGUGGCGACAUCAUCGAGAAGACGGGCAAAUAACUUUGCAUUCCUAACAAUUUUGGGAGCAUCACGCACCCAAACGAUUUCCUUCAUGCUUGCCUCUUUCAAUCCAAGUAAGAAUGCUGCUGUAAGUAGCUCGCCUGUGGUUGUGAUUGAGGCAUUAUGUAGGUACUCAUCAAAUGCUGGCACAUAGAGACUAUUGAACCAUUCUCCCUCUUGUAAAUCAGCUCUAGUCAGCUCCUUGAACUAGUAAUACCCAGAAAAAGAAAAGAAACAGUAGUUAUUAUUUUUAAUUAAAGAUUGGCAUUAGAAGAAGGCGCCAAAUGACUCUAUCAAACCGAUCAGAUCAAAGCCCAAGAAGUACUCCAUCCAGCAAAUAUUACCAUCUCCUUGGCAUAAGAGGUUUUGUAAGAGCUUCCUUCAUUGGCAUCAUUCUCUGUUUCUUCAAAAAGUUUCAGUAUAGCCUUGUAAAGAUACUGCAUGUAUUCUGGUAGCUCAUGAAUAGCAUCAAUACUGCACCUGAAUUUUAUUUUUUCGAGAGAAAAAAAAAAACCCAGAAAUUGUUAAAAGAUACUAAAUGUUUUUGGAA